GAAGAAGAAAGAUUAAACAGAUAUGUCGAGAAGGUGCGUUUUAGGUUGUAGUAGUCUUUCUGACACCCUUUUCCCAUUCCCCAAAAUACCUUGGUUGCGGUCCCGAUGGCUCGAAUUUUUGCAUUUCGAGGAAGGAGCGAUAUCAGAGAGGUCGCGGUUGUGCUCAAAACACUUCCCCCGUGAAUGCUUCAAGAACUGGACACAACACGAAAUGGGAUUUGUGAAAUAUCUGGCAUUAACAGAUACAGCUGUCCCUUCAGUGUACACCGUUGGUACCUCACAAAGUUCACAGCCCCUGACAAGAGAUGUAGCCUGUCAAUGCAAUCCACCAUCUUUAAAGAGUGUGUCUAUCCAGACAGUACAACAAAACCCGAAAAGAUUGAGUCAAGGGACUCAGGUGUUACCCUGGGAGCACUCCGGCAUAUCUUGGUCCAGUAAUCAUGACACUUCAUGUUUUUCAUCAACACCAGUUAAAAGGCCAUGCAUAGAGGACACCACAUCCGACGACAGCUCAAGGGGCACAUCACAGGAAUUGUCAGAUGACAUGUAUGAGACAGUAAUAAUUUAAAAGAGCAGUAAAAAGUUGCUACUUGCUGCUCUCUACUACAGUCAUGUAUAUGGAUGCUACUAGUUGGGUGAACAAAGUCAGAAGGCCAAAAUGCAAAAUGAUGAACAUUUUCUGCUUUCAUGUAAAACGUCACCAUCAUGCAACUACGUAGAGAUACUGAGGCUGCUUAUCGAGGAGGUGGUCUUCAGUCCUGGCCCAGACUAACAGCUGAUCAUUGAACAGAAGGUUCCAGAGCACUGCUGCUUUUGACAGGACCGACCUACAGGCGGCAAUAGUAUUAGAUUUUAUUUAGUGAUAUAACUUUUAAGAGUGAGUGAUAUUGUUUGUAUUUAUCGGUCUCAUUAAAGUGACACACGCCCACUGUAAAGGGGGUUUAAAUUCAGCAAACAGGUCAUCAAGCACGAUUCACUGUGAAUAGAUGGCCAGUUAUUUGAGACGAUAUUAUAAAAAAAUAAGAAUACUGUAACAGUGAAAAGGUUUUCCUGGAAUAACAAAACACCCGAUGGAGUGCAGGAUGGACUACAUCAUCAUCUUACUUUACUCAUACAUAAGUUAUGGGGUAAUUUUUUUCCCUAGUGAAUAUGCCUUAACACCAUUUUUUAUUAAAUACCAGACCCAUUUAAAAAGGUUUAAAAAAUAAAUCCUUAUCAGCAAGACCAAAC